UUGAAAUGAAACAAAACAUGAAAUAAUACUUUUGUACCACAAAGUCAUUUUGAUUUCUAUAAGGCAGCAUGUUAAAGAGCCAUGCGCUAUAUACUGUAAAUAGCAAGUACUCUCAGAUUCUACUAGUCAAUCCUAAAAAAUAACCUUUUGACCUUUCUACUUGCAUAGGCCAGCUCAUCAAAAGUGUAACAGUACACUUCACUUAUUUGACACACAACCUAUAAGUCUCGUUAAGGACUAUAAGUCUAGCCUACUCAUUGUGAAAUGGAGUGCACCAACCAUCAAGAAUAAGACUUUGUUAGAAUAGUCUUUGCCCCCACUAUUUUAAAAAUAUUUAAUGCACUUGAAUUGUU
rnacentral:lncRNA from 1 species